rnacentral:tRNA from 1 species
GCAGUGGUGGUUCAGUGGUGGAAUUCUUGCCUUCCACGUGGGAGGCCCAGGUUCGAUUCCUGGGCAAUGCA